rnacentral:rRNA from 1 species
UACGUAGGUGGCAAGCGUUGUCCGGAUUUACUGGGCGUAAAGAGCGCGCAGGCGGUUGAUUAAGUCGAAUGUGAAAGCCCCCGGCUCAACUGGGGAGGGUCAUUCGAUACUGAUCGACUUGAAGGCAGGAGAGAGAAGUGGAAUUCCCGGUGUAGUGGUGAAAUGCGUAGAUAUCGGGAGGAACACCAGUGGCGAAGGCGACUUCUUGGCCUGUUCUUGACGCUGAGGCGCGAAAGCUAGGGGAGCAAACGGG